GACGAAGGAUGCAAGCGUUAUCCGGAUUCAUUGGGUUUAAAGGGAGCGUAGGUGGCCUGCUAAGUCAGUGGUGAAAUCUCUGGGCUUAACCCAGAAAUUGCCAUUGAUACUGGUGGGCUUGAGUGCAGUUGCUGUUGGCGGAAUAUGACAUGUAGCGGUGAAAUACAUAGAGAUGUCAUAGAACACCGAUUGCGAAGGCAGCUAACAAAACUGUAACUGACACUGAGGCUCGAAAGUGUGGGGAUCAAACAGG
rnacentral:rRNA from 1 species